UCAGACGAUGCGUCAUGCAUAUCAAUAAGCGGAGGAAAAGAAACUAACUAGGAUUCCCUCAGUAACGGCGAGUGAAGCGGGAAGAGCUCAAAUUUGAAAUCUUCAAGGUUCUACCUUGACGAAUUGUAGUUUAAAGAAGUGUUUUCUGUUGGAGUUUUGGUAAAAGUUCUUUGGAAUAGGACAUCAUAGAGGGUGAGAAUCCCGUAUUUGACCAUUAUUUCCAGCUUUGUGAUACACUUUCAAAGAGUCGGAUUGUUUGGGAAUGCAGUCCAAAAUGGGUGGUAAAUUUCAUCUAAAGCUAAAUAUUGGCGAGAGACCGAUAGCGAACAAGUACCGUGAGGGAAAGAUGAAAAGAACUUUGAAAAGAGAGUUAAACAGUACGUGAAAUUGUCAAAAGGGAAGCGUUUGACACCAGUGUUGUUUAAUUGAAAAUCAAUUAACUAAUUUUUGAUUUUAAGUAGUAUUUGACUUUAUCAGCUUGCUAUUUAUUUUUCGAAAAUUAUUUAAUGCACUUUUCAGUUAACAAGUCAACAUCAAUUUCUUUUGUUGUAAAAGGGUCAUUGGAAGGUGGCUUUCUUUUCGGAGAAAGUGUUUAUAGCCUUUGGCCUCUGCAAUCGGAGAGAUUGAGGUCUGCAGCGUAGAUCCUUCGGGGUUAGAUACAUUUGUGCUAAGUUAUAGUAUUUUCAUAGACAACUUGUUGACUAUGAAUUAGUCAUUGUAGCUUACUCGCUUAUGCUAUUUUACCUACGCUUAGGAUGUUGAUCUACAGAGCGAGAGU
rnacentral:rRNA from 1 species